CUAUACAUGACUCUGCGCAUAUCAAUAAGCGGAGGAAAAGAAACUAACAAGGAUUCCCUUAGUAACGGCGAGUGAAGCGGGAAGAGCUCAAAUUUGAAAUCUUCAAGGAUUUACCUUGACGAAUUGUAGUUUAAAGAAGUGUUUUCUGUUGAAGUUUUGGUAAAAGUUCUUUGGAAUAGGACAUCAUAGAGGGUGAGAAUCCCGUAUUUGACCAUUAUUUCCAGCCUUGUGAUACACUUUCAAAGAGUCGGAUUGUUUGGGAAUGCAGUCCAAAGUGGGUGGUAAAUUUCAUCUAAAGCUAAAUAUUGGCGAGAGACCGAUAGCGAACAAGUACCGUGAGGGAAAGAUGAAAAGAACUUUGAAAGAGAGUUAAACAGUACGUGAAAUUGUCAAAAGGGAAGCGUUUGACACCAGUGUUGUUUAGUUGAAAAUCAAUUCAAAUAGGGAUUUUGAUCCUAGUAGUAUUGACUUCAUCAGCUUUCUGCACUUUCUUCUCAGUAUUAUUUAAUGCACUUUUCAGUUAACAAGUCAACAUCAAUUUCUUUUGUUGUAAAAGGGUAUGAGGAAGGUGGCUUUCUCUUCGGCGCAAGUGUUUAUAGCCUUGUAGCUCUGCAAUCGGAGAGAUUGAGGUCUGCAGCGUAGAUCCUUCGGGGUUAGAUACAUUUGUGCUAAGCUAUAGUUCUUUCAUAGACAACUUGUUGACUAUAGUCUAGUCCUGUAGCUUACUCGCUUAUGCUAUUUUACCUACGCUUAGGAUGUUGACACACGCGCGUGCUCG
rnacentral:rRNA from 1 species